AUGGCAGGAGGUAGAGGAAGAGGGCAGAUCCGGACCCUCAUCCAGCAGCAGCGAGCUCUCCGGCAGCACACAAAGCCCGUGACUGUGACAUGGAACUCAGGCGCCCUGACCAGCGGCGUGCACGACUUCCCACCAGUCCUGCUGUCGGGGCUCUACUCCAAGAGCAGCAUGGUGACCGUGCCUGCCGGCAACUUGCGCAGUCAGACUUUCACCUGCAAUGUAGCUCACACGGCCAGCGGUACCAAGGUGGACAAGAAAGUUGAAUACUCCAGUAAGCCGCCAGAGGGGGACUGUUCCAAGUGCUCGUGUUGUAGCUCCCUGCUGGGAGGACCGUCAGUCUUCAUCUUCCCCCCAAAACCCAAGGACACCCUCAUGAUCUCCCUGACCCCCAAGGUCACAUGUGUGGUAGUGGACGUGAGCCAGGAUGAACCCGACGUCCAGUUCACCUGGUACGUGGAUGGCGUAGAGACGCACACGGCCCAGACGAAGCCACGGGAGCAGCAGUACAACAGCACGUACCGUGUGGUCAGCGAACUCCCUGUCCAGCACCAGGACUGGCUGAAAGGCAAGGAGUUCAAGUGCAAGGUCAACAACAAAGCCCUCCCAGCCCCCAUCGAGAGAACCAUCUCCAAGGUCAAAGGGCAGCCCCGUGAGCCACAGGUGUACACCCUGCCCCCAUCCCAGGAGGAAAUGAGCAAGAGCCAUGUCAGCAUAACCUGCCUGGUCACUGACUUCUACCCUCUAGACAUCAGUGUUGAGUGGGAAAGCAAUGGACAGGUGGAGAAAGACUACAAGAAUACCCAGCCCGUGCUAGACAGCAAUGGCCACUACUUCCUCUACAGCAAGCUCCGUGUGGACAAGAAAAGAUGGGAUGCGAAGAGCCUAUUCACGUGCUCUGUGAUGCAUGAGGCUCUGCACAACCACCAUACGCAGAGGUCCCUUUCCCGGCCUCCGGAGCUGCACCUGGACGAGAGCUGUGCCCAGGCCCAGGACGGGGAGCUGGAUGGGCUGUGGACCACCAUCACCAUCUUCAUCACACUCUUCCUGCUGAGCGUGUGCUACAGCGCCACCGUCACCUUCUUCAAGGUGAAGUGGAUUUUCUCUUCGGUGGUGGACCUGAAGCAGACAAUCAUCCCCGACUACAGGAACAUGAUUGGGCAGGGGGCCUAGAGUCACC